rnacentral:rRNA from 1 species
CAGCCGCCGCGGUAAUACGUAGGGUGCAAGCGUUAAUCGGAAUUACUGGGCGUAAAGCGUGCGCAGGCGGUUUGUUAAGACAGAUGUGAAAUCCCCGGGCUCAACCUGGGAACUGCAUUUGUGACUGGCAAGCUAGAGUAUGGCAGAGGGGGGUGGAAUUCCGCGUGUAGCAGUGAAAUGCGUAGAUAUGCGGAGGAACACCGAUGGCGAAGGCAGCCCCCUGGGCUAAUACUGACGCUCAUGCACGAAAGCGUGGGGAGCAAACAGGAUUAGAUACCCCAGUAGUCCCUGUCUCUUAUAC